rnacentral:rRNA from 1 species
GACGAACGCUGGCGGCGUGCCUAAUACAUGCAAGUUGAGCGCUGAAGGUUGGUACUUGUACCAACUGGAUGAGCAGCGAACGGGUGAGUAACGCGUGGGGAAUCUGCCUUUGAGCGGGGGACAACAUUUGGAAACGAAUGCUAAUACCGCAUAAAAACUUUAAACACAAGUUUUAAGUUUGAAAGAUGCAAUUGCAUCACUCAAAGAUGAUCCCGCGUUGUAUUAGCUAGUUGGUGAGGUAAAGGCUCACCAAGGCGAUGAUACAUAGCCGACCUGAGAGGGUGAUCGGCCACAUUGGGACUGAGACACGGCCCAAACUCCUACGGGAGGCAGCAGGAGGGAAUCUUCGGCAAUGGACGAAAGUCUGACCGAGCAACGCCGCGGGAGUGAAGAAGGUUUUCGGAUCGUAAAACUCUGUUGGUAGAGAAGAACGUUGGUGAGAGUGGAAAGCUCAUCAAGUGACGGUAACUACACAGAAAGGGACGGCUAACUACGUG